CAAAUCAAUGCCCGUAUGUAGCUCAGUAUGUGACCAUCUAUAACUCCCGAAGUAAUCCAACGAGACAUGAAUGGUACGAUAAUUUGGCUUACCUGGAGCUUUGUGAAGUACAAGUAUUCGGCUGUGCGAGAGAGAAAUACGGAUAUGGCGACUGUAAUCAAUCCUGUUCCGAUAACUGUUACGGUGGCAACUGUGACGCUUCAAGUGGUUCCUGCUUUUAUUGUCGUCAAGGGAAAUGGGGCGAUACAUGCGAUCAUGACUGUUCUGCUGACUGUGGCAAUGGUUGUAUUUCAAAGAAUGGAUCCUGUACAG